ensembl:lncRNA
GUGGAGUUAGCACAUGGCACGGGCAUAAAAAUCCUAAAGCAUCAAUGGACUUCUGCCCUGCAGGCCCAAACAGCCACUUCAAUGGUGCGUGUUCUUUUAAUGGCCGCCUUCCCACUAGAAGUUCUGAUCCACAGCAAUUUGAAAGGGGGAAAGAGUAAAACUGAUGGUAGUGCAGAGAGAAGACAUGCCCUUGACAAGGAAACCAUGGGAGCCAUAUUUGGUAAAUCAAGACUUGCAGUGUGUCUGAAAUGUUUGAGUAGAUUUGUAUUUAAAUUUACUUUACAACCGUUAAAAAAGUACGUUCUAUAUGAAUGAAUUUCGGACAUUGGUAAGUCACAUGACAGUAACAACAUGGUUGAUUUAGUGGUGUCAUUUACGCCGCUUUACUGCCAGUCAUAAAUCCCUCCCGUAGCCUCAUGGUAUAGUAAAGUGUCCAUUGUAUGUACACUUCAGAAUCUCUGCAAAAGUAGUAGGUCAUCAGGAUAAUUUUUGCCUACUAUUUUUUUUUUUAAAUACUAUGAAUUUGGACAUGCUACUCUGUUGGCGUAUUGUUUUUCAUAUACUAUAUAGUAGAGAAGUAUUUGAUUUCGAACGCAGAGUUGGUGAAAGGAAAAUUUACUAGAAAAUUUCAGUUAAAGAAAAUUGUAAUUUACUCACCCUCAUGUCAUUCCAAACCUGUAAGAUUUUCGUUCAUCUUCGUAACAGAAAUUAAUAUCUUUUUGAUAUAAAAUCUGAGAUGUUUUCUGUCCCUCCUUUGACAACUACUUAACUACCACUUUGAUGCUUCAAAAAGUUUCAUAAGGAGAACGUAAAUGCUAAUUGACCCUUUGCAGGCAGUUUGAUUGACAGGUGAUCUGACCAAUCAUAAUCACUGCGUGAGAACAUGGUGGGGUGUGAGAGCGGUGUGGCUUGUCGGACAUAGCAACCGUAACUUUAAGGGGGGCGGGUCAUCACAAACGGUCAAUUGAGCGAUUUAGUCAAUUUUCUGAAGAGACACGAUCGCUUUAUAAUGAUCAGU